AGCAGUCAGUAUACCAUAAAACAUCACCCGCCACAACAUCAAAUGAUCAGAACAAAAUUAGCUCGAAAAACAUGUUCAAGUUGAAGAUCUCAAACUCCUUAAGCAUGCGGAAAACUCUGGGCAUUAUGAAGGGUCUGAAACAUUCAGGGAUAAAAGUUAAAGCAGGAACUAAAGUUAAGCUUUGGAAAAUGAACUCUGAAUUAUGUAAUUUUUUCAGUAUCAUAGAGCUUGGUGAUGUUCCUGGAGCCGAGACCACAAACCUUGGUCAAUACGCCUUUACACCGGUAAUAUAAUGUAACAAUGUGGCCGGCUUGAUAGAGCAUGUGAAGAAAUCGAGGGAAGGCAAUGAAGAGCAUGGACACUACAUCAAACUCGGCAUCGAUGGUGGUGGUGGAUUCCUGAAAGUUACCCUAUCCAUCCUAUCAAGAGACCCUCCUCCAGCUCGUUCCUCGAACUCCUUCAAAGAUAGUGGUGUUAAGCGGUUGCAUAUCAUUGCAUUGGCUCCGAAUCUCCCGGAGAAGUACGAAUACAUUUCGUUAAUUUGGAAUAACCUUUUAAAUCUGAACGCUCUGGAGUACACUGUCGCCGGCGAUUUAAAAAUAAUAAACGUUAUCGUAGGAAUCAUGGCGCACUCUUCAUCCUAUCCAUGUCCGUACUGCGAAAUAGCAAAGAAAGACCUGGCAGUACAAGCUGGAA